GUCAUUUCAUCUAGAGCAGGUCUCCCGAGACGCGUCCAGACGGGCCGUGCUCCCAAACCCCGAGCUCGCGCCCCCCAGGCACUAGCCCGGUCACCUUCACAGAGGGGAGAGGGACCAUUAAAGAAGGAGGAGGAUGAUACUGGAGUGGAACUGGGGAAUCUCUUAAGAUCAACAGGACACGACCAGAUGGAUGCCUGUAGAUCUAGUUAGGCCCUGUUAUCGAAAGUGAUGGAUGAAGGUGCUGAGUAUUGAUUCCAAUAAUUUGGGAAAUCAGCCCACUAUUCUGUAAUAAGAUAUAAGGUGUCAGUGUGACAGCUGCUUUAUUGUUGGGGAGCUCACGCAUACCUAAGGGGAUGGAGGCUUCCAGCAGCCCCUGUGUCAUUAUUUACUAAGGAUUUACAUAUGUCGUGCAGCUUACUGGCUCUAGGCAUGCAAUGGCUCUUCAG